rnacentral:rRNA from 1 species
AACGCUGGCGGCAGGCCUCAUACAUGCAAGUCGAACGAGAAAGUAUCUUCGGAUACGAGUACAGUGGCGGACGGGUGAGUAAUACAUAGGAAUCUACCCAAUGGAGGGGGAUAGCUCGAGGAAACUCGAAUUAAUACCGCAUAAUCUCCACGGAGUAAAGAGGGCUUCGGCUCUCGCCAUCGGAUGAGCCUAUGCAGGAUUAGCUUGUUGGUGAGGUAAAGGCUUACCAAGGCGACGAUCCUUAGCUGGUUUGAGAGGAUGACCAGCCACAUCGGGACUGAGACACGGCCCGGACUUCUACGGAAGGCAGCAGUAGGGAAUAUUGGACAAUGAGCGAAAGCUUGAUCCAGCCAUGCCGCGUGUGCGAUGACGGCCCUCGGGUUGUAAAGCACUUUAGGUAACGAGGAAAAGUUAGGUGUUAAUACCAUCUAACCUUGACGUUAAUUACAGAAUAAGCACCGGCUAAAUCCGUGCCAGCAGCCGCGGUAAUACGGAUGGUGCAAGCGUUAAUCGGAAUUACUGCGCGUAAAGCGCGCGUA